CCUACGGGUGGCAGCAGUGAGGAAUAUUGGUCAAUGGACGCAAGUCUGAACCAGCCAUGCCGCGUGCAGGAAGACGGCUCUAUGAGUUGUAAACUGCUUUUGUACGAGGGUAAACGCAGAUACGCGUAUCUGUCUGCACGUAUCGUACGAAUAAGGAUCGGCUAACUCCGUGCCAGCAGCCGCGGUAAUCCGGAGGAUUCAAGCGUUAUCCGGAUUUAUUGGGUUUAAAGGGUGCGUAGGCGGUCGGAUAAGUUAGAGGUGAAAUCCCGAGGCUCAACUUCGGAAUUGCCUCUGAUACUGUUCGGCUAGAGAGUAGUUGCGGUAGGCGGAAUGUAUGGUGUAGCGGUGAAAUGCUUAGAGAUCAUACAGAACACCGAUUGCGAAGGCAGCUUACCAAGCUACGUCUGACGUUGAGGCACGAAAGCGUGGGGAGCAAACAGGAUUAGAUACCCGUGUAGUC
rnacentral:rRNA from 1 species